AGUGAACGCUGGCGGUAGGCCUAACACAUGCCAGUCGAACGGCAGCACAGUAAGAGCUUGCUCUUACGGGUGGCGAGUGGCGGACGGGUGAGGAAUACACCGGAAUCUACUUUUUCGUGGGGGGUAACGUAGGGAAACUUACGCUAAUGCCGCAUACGACCUACGGGUGAAAGCAGGGGAUCUUCGGACCUUGCGCGAUUGAAUGAGCCGAUGUCGGAUUAGCUAGUUGGCGGGGUAAAGGCCCACCAAGGCGACGAUCCGUAGCUGGUCUGAGAGGAUGAUCAGCCACACUGGAACUGAGACACGGUCCAGACUCCUACGGGAGGCAGCAGUGGGGAAUAUUGGACAAUGGGCGCAAGCCUGAUCCAGCCAUACCGCGUGGGUGAAGAAGGCCUUCGGGUUGUAAAGCCCUUUUGUUGGGAAAGAAAAGCAGCAUGUUAAUACCCCGCUGUUCUGACGGUACCCAAAGAAUAAGCACCGGCUAACUUCGUG
rnacentral:rRNA from 1 species